rnacentral:rRNA from 1 species
ACAGAGGUCUCGAGCGUUAGGCGGAAUCACUGGGCUUAAAGCGUGUGUAGGUGGAUGCCUAAGUACCUUGUGAAAUCCCACGGCUUAACCGUGGAACUGCUUGGUAUACUGGGUGUCUUGAGUCACUCAGGGGCGAGCGGAACAAAUGGUGGAGCGGUGAAAUGCGUAGAUAUCAUUUGGAACGCCAAUGGUGAAAACAGCUCGCUGGGGGUGCACUGACACUGAGACACGAAAGCCAGGGGAGCGAACGGGA